rnacentral:lncRNA from 1 species
AAAUAUGCGCAGAGGUUUCAAUAUUGAUAUUACUUGGCGAAUAGUCUCAUUUAAACUAUCAACAAAAUGGCUUAUACUAUUGCAACACCUUUGCUUUUAUUACUUGGACUCAUAGGCAUGCUGUUCUUUCAGCAAUCUAUGGCCUGCAAUUUUGAAGAGGACCCGUCGUGCAGAAUAUAACAUUUGAAUUUCUAACAGCUGAUCAUACAUAUAAUAUAAAUCCCAAAUAAAUUCAUUUUUUCAAUA